rfam:Schistosoma haematobium scaffold162_15, whole genome shotgun sequence.
AUCCAGCUGACGAGUCCCAACAAGGACGAAAUGCGCCUUACUGGAU